rnacentral:rRNA from 1 species
ACUAGAUCUAGCUGAAUAAUAUCAACCUAACCUAAUUAUAUAGAACUACUAAACCAAAACAUUUACACCGCUCAAAGUAUAGGAGAUAGAAAUGACCCCAUCAAGCUAUAGAGCCAGUACCGUAAGGGAAAGAUGAAAGAAUUAUACUAAUAGUAAAAAAUAGCAAAGAUUAAACCUUAUACCUUUUGCAUAAUGAGUUAACUAGAAAUAACUUGACACAAAGAAUUUUAGCCAAGUACCCCGAAACCAGACGAGCUACCUAAAAAUAAUUUUUAGAAUCCACUCAUCUAUGUUGCAAAAUAGUGAGGUGAUUUUUGGGUAGAGGUGAAAAGCCAAUCGAGCCUGGUAAUAGCUGGUUGUCCACCAUAGAAUUUAAGUUCAACCUAAAAUUUACUUAUCAUACUAAUUAACUAAACCGUAAGUUUUAGACAUAGUUAAAAGAGGUACAGCUCUUUUAACACAGGAUUCAACCUAGAAUAGAGAGUAAAUUCUUAAAACAUCAUAGUAGGCCUAAAAGCAGCCACCAAUUAAGAAAGCGUUUAAGCUCAACACCCAUAAAAACCAGUAAAUUCUAUCAACAGAAUCUAGCUCCUAUUUCACUCACUGGACUAAUCUAUUAACUUCAUAGAUGAACUAAUGUUAACAUAAGUAACAAGAAAAUAAUUUUCUCCUUGCACUAGUUUACAACCUAACGAAUACUCAUUGUUGAUUAACAAUUUUAUAACAACACCCAUAAAUUAAUUAGAUAUUAACCCACUUGUUAACCCAACACAGGAGUGCUAAAAGGAAAGAUUCAAAGAAGUAAAAGGAACUCGGCAAACUAAAAUCCCGCCUGUUUACCAAAAACAUCACCUCUAGCAUCUUAAGUAUUAGAGGCACUGCCUGCCCAGUGACACAUUAAACGGCCGCGGUACUCUGACCGUGCAAAGGUAGCAUAAUCAUUUGUCUCCUAAAUAGAGACUUGUAUGAAAGGCUUAACGAGGAUUUAACUGUCUCUUACUUUUAAUCAGUGAAAUUGACCUCCCCGUGAAGAGGCGGGGAUAAAAACAUAAGACGAGAAGACCCUAUGGAGCUUAAAUGAACAACUCAAAGUCUAAAUCCUCAAGCCCAACAGGGCCUAACCUCUACAAACAUGAGCUGCUAAUUUUGGUUGGGGUGACCUCGGAGAACAAAAAAACCUCCGAAGAACUACUUCUAAGACUUACAUGUCAAAGUUCUACUACAGUAUCUCAAUGACCCAAUUAAUUAAUUGAUCAACGGACCAAGUUACCCUAGGGAUAACAGCGCAAUCUUACUCAAGAGUUCCUAUCGACAGUAAGGUUUACGACCUCGAUGUUGGAUCAGGACAUCCAAGUGGUGCAGCAGCUACUAAAGGUUCGUUUGUUCAACGAUUAAAGUCCUACGUGAUCUGAGUUCAGACCGGAGAAAUCCAGGUCGGUUUCUAUCUAUGUAAUAAUUUCUCCUAGUACGAAAGGACAAGAGAAAUAAGGCCAACUACUCUUCUAGUGCCUUAAAUUUAAGUAUGAAUUAAUCUCAAUAUAACUAUAGCAACAAUAACCCUAGACAAGGGUUC